CAGUUUUGGGUCACUGAGCUAGGUA
rnacentral:piRNA from 1 species